GCCUAUGGGGGGCAGCAGUGGGGAAUAUUGGGCAAUGGGCGCAAGCCUGACCCAGCAACGCCGCGUGAAGGAAGAAGGCUUUCGGGUUGUAAACUUCUUUUCUCAGGGACGAAGAAAGAGACGGUACCUGAGGAAUAAGCCACGGCUAACUACGUGCCAGCAGCCGAGGUAAUACGUAGGUGGCAAGCGUUAUCCGGCUUUACUGGGUGUAAAGGGCGUGUAGGCGGGACU
rnacentral:rRNA from 1 species